CGCCGGGCUUGACCGCUGUCAGAGCGCCCCGCCCAUCGCUGGCCUGGGGGCCGGCGUCGACCGACGGGCCCUGGACUUCGGUCUUCGAGUCGCUGGUCUUUCGGGGGCUGCGGCCGCCCGGGUCCGCUUUCGCCAAGAGGGGAGAUAAGGCCUUCCUGUCCGGGAAAGGGCUUGCCUCAAUGCACUCCUUCUCCCCGGCAAGGCAGAGAAAGCCCAUCCAAGCGUCACGUCCUACCAUGGUGGCUCCGUUAUGCAGACCCCUUCCGUGACAGCUUUCACCACCAUUUGCACCUGGAAUCAGCAGCAUUUCGAAUCACGAAGACUCGGAAUUUCGAGAACACUCCGAGUUUAUCAGUGCAGGAGGCUGUCCGCUACACAUGUAGCAAAAGUCUAUGUAACAAAAGUUCAACGAACUGUUGUGCGAUUCUCGUGAAUAUGUUGUGAGUACUCUGCAG